AACGUAGGUACCGAGCGUUAUCCGGAUUUACUGGGCGUAAAGCGCGUUCAGGCGGUUUGGCAAGUCGGGCAUGAAAUCUCUCGGCUCAACCGGGAGAGGUUGUCCGAUACUUCCAGACUUGAGGGCAGUAGAGGGUGGUGGAAUUCCGGGUGUAGUGGUGAAAUGCGUAGAUAUCCGGAGGAACAUCAGUGGCGAAGGCGGCCAUCUGGAUCAACACUGACGCUGAGGCACGAAAGCGUGGGGAGCAAACAGG
rnacentral:rRNA from 1 species